UCCGUAGGUGAACCUGCGGAGGAAUCAUACUGAG
rnacentral:rRNA from 1 species